rnacentral:rRNA from 1 species
UACAGGGGGUGCGAGCGUUACUCGGCUUUACUGGGCGUAAAGAGCGUGUAGGUGGUUCGUUAAGUCGAGUGUGAAAGCCCCGGGCUCAAUCCGGGAAGUGCACUUGAUACUGACAAACUAGAGUGCAGGAGAGGUGAGCGGAAUUCCCGGUGUAGAGGUAGAAUUCGUAGAUAUCGGGAGGAACAACAGUGGCGAAGGCGGCUCACUAGACUGUUACUGACACUAAGGCGCGAAAGCGUGGGGAGCAAACAGG